AAAAAAUUUAGGUGUUUGUUCAGUUUUCAGUUGAUUUUUGGAUAAUUUUGUUAUUAAUUUAGUAAACGUUUAUUAGAGUAAUUUGUGUGAAAAAUUAAUGAUAAAAUUAUUGUAAUAUUUGAAAUUUCUCGUUGAAAUGCUGUGUUUGUAGUUUAUGUAUCGAUUUGCGUUGGUAAAACAACCCGUGUAACUGUAACCAUGACUUCGUCUGGAGGAGUCGACGAAAUCCAAGUCGCUGGAACAUCGUUUAAUAGUCCUUCUAAUUCGACUAGAGAUGCUGGAGAUGCAGACGAUGAUAGCAAUUGGGAUGCGAUGAGUGAUCAGAACGACGAUAAAGGAAAUUCGGAAAGCACGAUGAAGAGAAGAAGUAAUAAAACCGAAAAGGAGAAAAAAUUGGGUCAUCGGCGUGUAGGUGUUGGCGGUGAAAUCACGUAUAAGAAGAUUCAAACCAGCCAAAUCAUGGGAUCUAUACAGCUCGGCAUUCAACACGCAGUCGGAGGUUUGGCUUCGAAACCUGAACGAGACCUGUUAAUGCAAGAUUUCAUGACAGUCGAAACGACAGUAUUUACCAGCGACGGUUCUAAUCACACUCCAGCUCAUCAUUAUUCGGAAUUCACGUUUAAAACUUACGCUCCAAUAGCGUUUAGAUAUUUUCGAGAUUUAUUCGGUAUCCAACCGGAUGAUUUUCUGAUAUCAUUCUGUAGUGCUCCGUUAAGAGAGUUAUGCAAUCCCGGAGCCAGUGGCUCGAUUUUUUAUUUAACUCAGGACGAUGAAUUCAUCAUGAAAACCGUUCAGCAUAAAGAAGGCGAAUUUUUACAGAAAUUAUUGCCCGGAUAUUAUAUGAAUUUAAACCAAAAUCCUCGUACCUUGUUACCUAAAUUUUUCGGAUUGUACUGCUAUCAAUGUAAUUCAAAAAAUAUUAGAUUAGUCGCUAUGAACAACCUGUUACCGUCGAAUAUAAAAAUGCACCAAAAAUACGAUCUAAAAGGUUCGACGUAUAAACGAAAAGCUUCGAAAUCAGAAAGACAAAAGAAUUCGCCUACGUUUAAAGAUUUAGAUUUUAUGGAGUUGCAUCCAGAAGGCCUAUUUUUAGAAGCGGAUACGUAUCAAGCUCUAGUCAAAACUAUACAACGUGAUUGUCGAGUGCUGGAAAGUUUUAAAAUCAUGGACUAUAGUUUACUAGUCGGUAUGCAUAAUUUGGAUUUGGCACUGAAAGAGAAAAUGGAUAAGAGAGCCGUUGCUAACCAAAUGAAUAACGAAACCGGAGUGUCGAGUUCGUCGGGCGGUGCCGAUAGAACCGAAGCAGAUAGUUCGAAUUAUCAUUCGGGUUCCGAAUCCGAAGAUAAAGCUGCCGGUACGUCGAAUCAGACGUCUUUAGCUCGAUCGCGAUCGACGAACCGGCAAAGGCUCGUCGCUCAUUCGACAGCUAUGGAAAGUAUUCAAGCGGAAAGCGACCCUAUAGACGAAGUAGAAAAUUUACCACCUGGUGGAAUUCCUGCUAGAAACGCCAAAGGAGAAAGAUUGCUGUUGUUUCUCGGUAUUAUCGAUAUUUUGCAGAGUUAUCGUCUCAAGAAGAAGCUGGAGCAUACGGUUAAAGCGCUUAUUCACGAUGGCGAUACUGUAUCAGUUCAUAAGCCGGGAUUUUACGCACAAAGGUUCCAAGAAUUUAUGGCAAAGACAGUGUUUAAGAAAAUACCUUCUUUGGAUUUACCGGAAAUCAAAGGAAAUCAUCGUAAAUUUCGUACCCUGGUUUCUAGUUACAUAGCCCUGAAACAUUCGCCUUCGAAGAGGAAAAGUUUUUCAAGACCUUUGCUGCGUGCUCCUUACGAUAUCGAUGUAGAUUCGAACGACAGAUCUUCCACUCCGCAGGCUCUGCCGGUUACCUCGCCUUUAUCUCAGCACACCACUCCUCCUGUUUCCCCUCCUAUUUAUCCGUCGGUUUUGAAAGAUCGACAUUCGGCUCCUCUAAAUUUAGGCUCUCCUAGUAAUAUUCGUGCUCCUCCUCCAGUUCCGCCUCGCGGAGUAAGGGCAGCUAAACGUUAUCAAGGAUUUGGUAAAGGUUAUAUUAUGCCAGCCGGUAUACCGUCGUGUUCUACUCCACCUCCCGGAUUCGACGAAGCGAUACAAGAUCACGUAGUGGAAAGGCGAGCCGUAUCUGCGGAUAAUUCUACCAGCUCUUCUACCAAAAGGUAUUCGUCCGGAGUGACCAUGUCCCCUCCGACUAACACUUCUACACCUACCAAAGGAAGCAAGAAAAUGCACUCUCACGUCGUCAACGUUUCAGACGUGAAAUGUGAACUCGACAAUGAGAACAGAUCGACGUUGAGCGUGGGCUCCGGCAGCUCAGCCAGCGGUAGUUAUCUUUCGGCCGGACACAAGAAGGCGAUGACGUGGACAUCUCCGGCAUCGUGCGAAGGAAGCACACCUACCUGGACCGAGGGUACUCCUAGUUUUACCGAAUCUUCUAGUAGUGGUGAUAUAGGCUGGCCACUAACUCCUGUUAGAGGGCAAAACAAGGAGCAUCUCAGGGAACGUACCAGCUCGCACGAAGUUAUUCAUACCAGAGAAAGCGUAUCACAACGUCAAGUCCAUAUGGAAUCCGUUCAUCGUAAAGAAGUGAAUAGCACAUGUUCGGAAAUCGAAUCUCAAGAAGUCACCGAAGUUACUCAUCUAUAAUGUUAAUUUAAAAUACAGGAUCUCAGUGUGUAAAUUGUAAAGAUUUAACCAAAAAAAGUAAUUACUAAAAAAAAAAGCUCCUCGCGAUAACUCAAGACCAUGAGAAACCCGCAUUAUUCAAUAAUUCGGACAGCUUCGAGAUCGUCACUUACGAAAAGCACGGCAUCCAAUGAGGUCCAGCAGCGACGACGAAGGCGGCGGUGGCGGCGAUAAAAACGUCACAGAGUAUCCCAGAGGAGGACUCCACAUUUGUAUCUUCGAAUAAUAUCUUUAUUUCUCUGAUGGAGAAACAAAUCAUCACCAACAUCAUCAUCAUCAUCAUUAUCUGAGUCGUCGUCUUAGUUGUCACCAUCAACAAUCAACAUCAUCGUCGGCAUCGUGAGAGGUGAUGUACGCUACAACAACGAGAGACAAGUCACACAACUCUGUAUACCUCAGAAACCAGCAUCAUUCCUCGUAUAUAUGACUGAAUUACUUCGUAUAAUAUUAGUAUAUGUUGUAAUGUAUUUAUUUUACUAUUAAUAUGUACGUAUCCUUUUAUUGUACGUUUUUCGGCGAGAAUCUUACGUACGUACGGUGUGUAUUACGAUGUAUGGCAAGAGACUCGAUAAAAUACUCCACCAAAGGCCAAUAUCUAAUACUCUCCUCGCCUCAUUUUUUUUUCAAUGCAACUCCUUGAUCAUAGCGGAGCAGGAUGGAAUCUCAACGGAAAUAUCUCUAUACGUAUUAAUAACGCGUACGCGUUGAUCGGGUUUUCCUUUAUUUUUUUCGUUUUUUGGUUUUUAUUUUAUCUUCUUUUUCUACGAAAACAUUCCAAAAAAUUAUUAUUACUAUGUACGUACAAUUGUAUGUAAAUAAUCAUUACCGCGGCGUGGCGUCAGUUUUUUCUUUUUUUUUUUUUAUCUAAUUACUGUAACGUUAUAGGGAGUUUUAGGUUUAGGUUUUUGUUACGUUACGCACGAGCACGUGUAAUUUGUGUUUGAUUCAUGACGAUUGUGUGUCGGUUCUUCAUUCAUACUAAUACUGAAGUAACGGUUCAGUUCAGUAUAAUUUUUUUUAUGUUGGGGAAAAAUCGUACGUACCAGGCACAAAAUAUGGAAAUGUUACUAUGCACUUGUUAAUUUUCUCUACCUAUUGUUUCCACGUUACGUUUAGUGAAUAAGAUCGAAGACGUUGACGUAAUUAUUAUUUUACGUGUAAAAAUUUUAUUCGUUAUAGUGAACUGAUAAAACUGAUACGAAGUAUAGUUAAAUAUUGGCUCAGAUUUUUAUCGCCUAUUUUAGGUAUAAAUUUAAUUUACCUGUAAUAUUCGAUUUGUUAUCGCGUUUUUAUUAUUUUUGUUCGUCGUUUUUUUCCCUCAUAUUUUAUUCAUUUUAUAAUCGGGUUUGAAACCUUACACGACGAAUUUUAUGUUUUAUUCGUUUAAAAUACCUAAUUUAUUAGAUUACCUAUGUGUAUGUACCUACCUAUAUCGAUGGAUCGAAGAAAAUCAAGAGAUAUUACGAAAACCUUCCUAGUCAGUAUUAAAGAAAAGUUUAAGCGAAUGGCUUUUUAUUAACAUCACAUAAAAUAUUACGUAUGUAUAACUUGAAAAGAGAGAGAGAAAAAAAAGGUAACAUUUUGGACGAAAGAUCGUAUAUUAUUUUGUUAUAAUAUGCUAAGUAGCGCGAGUCAAAGAAUAUUUUUUUAUUACGCUUAGCUUGAUGAAAAGUUUAACCUUGUUAUCGGCUUGUAAAUUUUAAUAUAAUAAUUUACCUACAUAUUAAACGGGCUAGCUUUUUUUUGUAUUAUUUGAAUUUUAUUAUCGGUGACAUGAAAAUUUAGCCCGACGCGUUACAUAUCUUCUGUAAAAGAAAAAUAAUACCUUUACUCUUACGAACAAGUGCAUUUGUUUUUUUGUUUUUUGAAAAUUUUUCUCGCUGUCUAAUCACACACACACACACAUACUAUACAGUAAUAAUAAUAAUAAUAUUAUAUCGUGUAUUUUUUCGUAAAGAGAAAAAGGAAAAUAUUAUACUUAAAAACAUAUUCCUAUUUGUUUUUUUUUCUUUUUUGUUACGUGUGUAAGCGGCGAUUAAAAAUCAUGGUUUUUUUCAAUAAUUUUAAUAUUCGAAUGUGAUAUAGUGAUUUAUUUUCAUGUAUUGUUUUCUUUUUUUUUUAAAUAGUAAUUUAAUUGUUGCUAGCUAAAUAGUAAAAAAAAAACGAGUAAUUUGUAAUUCCUAUAUUGUUAUAUUAAAUAUUUUAUUGACCCGA